UAGAUUGAAGCUCGCUGGAUGGAGUGUUUAGCUGUUAACUAAAAGGUUAUGGGAUAAAGGCCCAUCAAUCUAG
rnacentral:tRNA from 1 species